AGACAACGAUACUCGGCAAUCGUUCUUCACUUCUCCUUUCGGGAGCCCACCCAGGGACGCCAAUUAACCCUUUAACACCGAAUGUGUCGUCGACGACACAUUUUGCAAGCAAAACUUUGGAUUACCGUAACUAUGUCAAAGUUUGCGCAAUCGAAAAAAUGUCAACGGUUUCUGAAAGCUGAGACUCUGCGCUUUACGGCAUAUAUCGACUCAUUACGGUAACUUCACUUACGGCCCUCCGGAAGCCCGCGAAACAGCGCCUUCGUUGUGAGCGAAUACACACAGAGCGCUGGAGAGACACAAACAACACCGCGGAGAAAUAGAGCCGGAAAACAGCGGAUUGAAUUCAAAUGGAAGCAAGAUGGUAUGUAAAUCAACACUUGUAUAGCGUUGUGACUUGUUUAGAACAGUGUACCAAGUCUGUAAGAUUGUACUAGGUGUGUAAUUGUACUUUAUAUGCGUAAAUGUGCGCGUCUUCUUCAAGUAGCUUGCGUCCUAGCCGAGGCUGUGUACAAGCUUUAGCUGGAGAGGAGGAGGUGUUACCAGAGAUCACGAGGUGUUACCAGAGAUCACGAGGUGUUACCAGAGAUCACAAGGUGUCACCAGAGAUCACAUUCAGGCCUGUAGAUGGAGCUGUGGGGAUGCUGAAUGAUCUGGUGACGCUGUCAGACACAGAAGCCCCUCACCACAUCACACCACAAGAUGGCAGACUGAGGCAGAGCCCGAUGAUGGAGUCCCUCAACCACCCCAGGCGUCCAACCCCCUCUCGAUAUGGGAAACCCAGCACCAGGUGACAUUUAUUCCCACUUUGAUGCUGCAGUUUUCAAACUCCUCUCUGAAUACACAAACAAGAAUGCAGCCAAAAGCCUGGAGAGAGGGAGACAGUUCAUCUGGACUGAAAUAACUCCAGAAGAAAUGAAGAAGUCCACAGGCAUGUUGCUGUACAUGUCAUUUUUGGACCUGCACAAAGAUGAGCAACUUUUGGUGUAAGCAAACCAUUUUCCAUGUGUCAUUCCCUGCCACUGUCAUGUCCCCAGACUGUUCAUGGCCAUUUGAUCUAAUCUUCAUCUGAGUGACCCAGAGAAAACAGGAGCAACAGGAACAGUCCCUGGCAGUACCACCAAGACCUCUGCAUGUGAAGGGACACUCAGUAGAGGAGAGAAUUACCCUGUGUGGGGAAAAACGCCUGGACAUAUUUUCCAUUUUAUGGCCUGUUUUUGCAGAUGUAAGAGUAAAAGACUCAAAACUUUUACUGGAUAUAGUUGUAUACAUUUCAAACUUCAAAUGUAACAUGUUAAAUCUCUUAUUCAUGUACAUUUGCUGUGUUUUUUGUUCACUAAACCACUAAACUCAAAUUCCGCUUUUGUAUUUCUCUUCAUUUUAAACUGUUAUUACACUCUCAUAACAUGCAACAAAUUGUAAAUGACUGCCAGAUAUGGAAAGUUCCAGUUAUUGUUGGAAAAUGGGCAAAAGCACUUACUCACAGGACAUUUC
rnacentral:lncRNA from 1 species